rnacentral:rRNA from 1 species
CCUACGGGGGGCUGCAGUGGGGAAUAUUGGACAAUGGGGGCAACCCUGAUCCAGCCAUGCCGCGUGUGUGAAGAAGGCCCUCGGGUUGGAAAGCACUUUCAGUGAGGAAGAACGCCUGGUGGUUAAUACCCAUCAGGAAAGACAUCACUCACAGAAGAAGCACCGGCUAACUCCGUGCCAGCAGCCGCGGUAAUACGGAGGGGGCGAGCGUUAAUCGGAAUUACUGGGCGUAAAGCGCGCGUAGGUGGCUUGAUAAGCCGGUUGUGAAAGCCCCGGGCUCAACCUGGGAACGGCAUCCGGAACUGUCAAGCUAGAGUGCGGGAGAGGAAGGUAGAAUUCCGGGUGUAGCGGUGAAAUGCGUAGAGAUCGGGAGGAAUACCAGUGGCGAAGGCGGCCUUCUGGACUGACACUGACGCUGAGGUGCGAAAGCGUGGGUAGCAAACAGGAUUAGAUACCCUGGUAGUC